GGAUGAUUUGCAACGCCGAUCCUAUCAGAGGUUGCGGGAGGCGUGUUCAGUACCGGCUGGGACGGUCCCAAUAGGCUGCGCACCUCGAUAUUAGGAAGACGUUGAAUUGAGAUCACGUUGAGGGCGGGUGGCCGAAUGAAUCAGUUGGACCGGCCGUUGAUUUGCAUAGGGGGGGCAUGCUGCCCGCAAUGCAAUCUGGGAUAUCACAUCCUUUAACGUUAUCAGAGUUGGUCCUGUCAAUCAGGAGAGACAAUGGUUACAGUGAGGAGGACAAGUCUGCAGACAGAGGCCCAUUCAUAUAGUGGUGAACAUCAACUCUGCAGUCGUACAGAGGAGACAGGAGAGAGGCCAGG
ensembl:lncRNA